rnacentral:rRNA from 1 species
UACAGAGGUGGCAAGCGUUGUUCGGAAUUACUGGGCGUAAAGGGCGCGUAGGCGGCCUUCUAAGUCAGACGUGAAAUCCCCCGGCUUAACCUGGGAACUGCGUCUGAUACUGGAAGGCUUGAGUAUGGGAGAGGGAUGUAGAAUUCCAGGUGUAGCGGUGAAAUGCGUAGAUAUCUGGAGGAAUACCGGUGGCGAAGGCGGCAUCCUGGACCAUUACUGACGCUGAGGCGCGAAAGCUAGGGGAGCAAACGGG